AUACGUAGGUCCCGAACGUUGCGCGAAAUUACUGGGCGUAAAGGGUCCGUAGGCGGUCUGGUAAGUGGAAGGUGAAAGCCUGGGGCUCAACUCCAGAAUUGCCUUCCAAACUGCCGGACUUGAGGCAGGGAGAGGUCGGCGGAAUUCCCGGUGUAGUGGUGAAAUGCGUAGAUAUCGGGAGGAACACCAGUGGCGAAGGCGGCCGACUGGAACUGUCCUGACGCUGGGGGACGAAAGCCAGGGGAGCGAACCGGAUUAGAAACCCUAGUAGUCC
rnacentral:rRNA from 1 species